CGCCUGCACUCCAGACUGAGCAGGUCUCUAGAAGAGCCUGCGAGAUCAGCCCGACUGCGAUCCAGAAGCGCACGAGUCCGCGGCCACGCGCGCUCCGAUGGCCCCCAGAAGCUGAGGGCAGCGGGGCUCGGGCCCUAGACCCGAGCUGCUGGCUUGCAAGGUAGGGAGAAGGAAGAUGCCCAAACGAAGUUGAUCUUCGGGGGAAGGAGGCUGGGGCGCGCCCUCCCCACGCCGGAGCGCAGCGCAGCGAAUUUGGCUCAACCUCACUGAGCCCCCCGGCGCGCUCUCCGGCGCGAACCCGCGGUCCCUCGGGAAAGCGCGGUCGGAAAGUUGUCGGCUGCGGUGUCCUGAGCGCCCUGUUGUGUAACCUCGGCGCUGCCGGCCGGACGGGGAAGUUGCGGGUCCACCGGCCAGCCAGGUUCGGUCGCCGCUCGGAGCGGAUUUCAUGGCCCGCGGCGAGCGCGGGGCCGGAGCCGGCGUGGGCGAGCCCCCGCGCGCCCCCUCCCGCAGGGAUCCCCGGCUCCCGCUCCCGUCUGCUCGCCCGCCUUUCCGAUGCUCGCUGCGCCCCUCGCCGCCGCCGCCGCCGCCCUUCUGCCGCCGCUUGUCCCUUGGAGCCGCCGCCUAAGUCGGGGAGGAGAGAAUGACCGAGGUGCUGUGGCCGGCGGUCCCCAACGGGACGGACACUGCCUUCCUGGCCGACCCUGGUUCGCCCUGGGGAAACAGCACAGUGACUUCCACCGCCGCCGUCGCCGGCCCGUUCAAAUGCGCGCUGACCAAGACAGGCUUCCAGUUCUACUAUCUGCCAGCUGUCUACAUCUUGGUGUUCAUCAUCGGCUUCCUGGGCAACAGCGUGGCCAUCUGGAUGUUCGUCUUCCACAUGAAGCCGUGGAGCGGCAUCUCCGUGUACAUGUUCAACUUGGCCCUGGCCGACUUCUUGUACGUGCUGACCCUGCCGGCACUCAUCUUCUACUACUUCAAUAAGACCGACUGGAUCUUCGGGGAUGCCAUGUGCAAACUGCAGAGGUUCAUCUUCCACGUGAACCUCUAUGGCAGCAUCUUAUUCCUGACGUGCAUCAGCGCACACCGGUACAGCGGCGUGGUGUACCCGCUCAAGUCCCUGGGUAGGCUCAAGAAGAAGAACGCGGUCUAUAUCAGCGUGCUGGUGUGGCUCAUCGUGGUGGUGGGCAUCUCCCCCAUCCUCUUCUACUCUGGCACCGGGAUCCGGAAAAACAAAACCGUCACCUGCUAUGACACCACCUCGGACGAGUACCUGCGAAGUUAUUUCAUCUACAGCAUGUGCACGACCGUGGCCAUGUUCUGCGUCCCCUUGGUGCUGAUUUUGGGCUGUUACGGAUUAAUUGUGAGAGCUCUGAUUUACAAAGACCUGGACAAUUCGCCUCUGAGGAGGAAAUCCAUUUACCUGGUGAUUAUUGUACUGACUGUGUUUGCUGUGUCAUACAUCCCUUUCCACGUGAUGAAAACAAUGAAUUUGAGGGCCCGGCUGGAUUUUCAGACCCCAGAAAUGUGUGCUUUCAAUGAUAGGGUGUAUGCCACUUAUCAGGUGACAAGAGGCCUAGCAAGUCUCAACAGUUGUGUGGACCCCAUUCUCUAUUUCUUGGCAGGAGAUACUUUCAGAAGGAGACUCUCCCGAGCCACCAGGAAAGCUUCCAGAAGAAGUGAGGCAAACUUGCAGUCCAAGAGUGAGGACAUGACACUCAAUAUUUUAUCGGAGUUCAAGCAGAAUGGAGAUACAAGCUUGUGAAGAUGCAGGAAUCCCCAAACACCCACUUUGUGACAUGGUAGGAUGCUUCAUAGAGCCAAGCGCCUUUUUUCCCCUUUCAGUUUCUAGUGAGUUUAGAGAAACUUCAAACCAAGAAGGCAGUGAAUUAACAAAUAAAAUAGAAGUGGAAAUGCCUACACCCACACUUAGCUUGUUUGGAUUUGCUUUCUAACCAGAAGUUAGACUUCUGGUCUAACUUCCUUCGCUCAAGGGCUUUCUUCUUUCUAACCAGAAGUAUGUAACAUAAAGUUAUACUGCCCUACUUAAGUAUUUACUUUCUCUUCUGCCUUUAAAAUUUGCAAACUCUUCUCUUUAAAGUGUACAUGAGUACUGAAGCUAUUUGGAUAUUAAUAUUUUCUCCAAGAAAACUGACCACCUGAAACCUGAGUUUGUGAUUUGUCGAUAUUAAUAUUUUCUCCAAGAAAACUGACCACCGGAAACCUGAGUUUGUGAUUUGUCUAGUCUUUAUUGUCUUUAAUAAUCUGAGGUAGGAACAAAUUGAAACUUCACAUUCUUAGAUUAGAGUCAUAGACCAAAAUACUAAAGUCAGUUCAUUCAGUAGCAGAUGAACAGAUUGCUGCCGAGUGUCUUUUUUUGAUCCUGUAAGCAUAGGUGGUAGCUGGCUGAAUUUCUCUGGAGAACUGAAUAGAAAAAUCAAGUCAAUGAAUUUACAAGUCUCCCAAGUGAUUAUCUCACGAUGGUUUCUAGAAAACUGCUUACUCUGUGUUGGGUGCUAAAUGUUUGUGGAUGGAAUUAUCUGUAUAUUAUCUUACAGGUCUGAAGACGCCCAGCCUGGUUUACAGAAUAUGUUAGGUACAUUGAUUCAGCUUCCAGGGAACUUUUUUUGGAGUGUGGCUCCAGUGUGGAUGUGAGCAGGGACUAGAAAUGCCCUUUUACUUCUUGACAUGCUAUUUCCACAGUGUUUCUUCCUUAGCGUCAUGCAUCACGUCGUGGACAAUGAUGACAUGCACUUGCCUGCCUAAUAGUGACAAGAAUGAUCUCUCUAACCCCUUCCAGGCACGAAGUGGUCUCUGGGAUGAGUCUGCUAAUGAUGAAACCAUACCGAGGGUCAAGAUAAAGCGGUGAUCUCUUGGCUGAAGAUCUGAUUCAUGGCUUAUGAUAAAGAGUGGGUAUUUUACCAGUACAGGCAGAAAUCUGCUGGCAUUUUGAUAAAAAGGAAAGCUAAAAUUAUAGAAUGUAACAAUUAACUAAAUUUCACACUACAAAACUGAAUGCCAAAGUGUUUUAUGGCUCAUCAGGUGGCAACUUUGACCCACUGAACAUCAGUGUGUGAGUUUGCAUUGAAACGCUAAACACACAGACCCAGGAGAGAUACACCAUGAGAGUAGAAUUUGGAGUUAAAAUGGGGAUAUUGCCCAUUGGCCAGCGGUGGGACUUCUUGACCCUGUCAAGACCACUCUCCAUGGAUUAAAAGGGUUGGAUGAUAUCCAUCUGUUGGGGCCUUAAGGGAUGUAGUAGAGAACUACAGGCAGCCAGAGGUGCAUGAAAUCUGCUACUGUACUUUCCAGGACUGCUGGAUACCAGUCCUUGGCUAAAAGAACUCGUACAAAGUUCACCGGUUGUGAAAUGGAUAUGACCUGUAAGUUUUCUGUCUCCUCAGGGCAGUGCGCUAUACUGCCUCGGAUAUCAGAGAUGCCAGUGCUUACAGCAGCUGGAAUUGGACUCGUGAAAAUAAAGGUGUGUAACUAGUUAGAGAUAUAGUAAAGCUUUAACUUUGCUGGUCAAAUUGUAACUAUCAUAAUAGUAUUUAUUGAUGAAGCUCACGGUCCUUCCAUUGUACAGAUUGAAAAACUUCCUUGAAAGUUCCAACAUACUGAUGUAAAUUAUAUUUAUUGCAAUGUAUAAUAUUAAUAUGUCACAUUGGUGUAUUUUACAUAAUGUAUGAUGCAUAAAAAUGAGUUACUGUAUAUUAUGAUGCUUUUCAAAUAUCAGUAUCUUGAAAUGUUUUAAGUUUUUAGAUUUUUUUAAUCUAAAAUAUGAAAAUCUGUUUUGUGAUACAAGUGAUUCAUUUUCUCUAGAAAUGCUUUUGCACGUUUAUCUUUUUAUUUAGGGUUCCUCCUACAUAGACACAGUUUGGUGUCAAACUUUCAUUAGGAUCAAUAGUAAAUACAGAAUAUCUUAGCCAAACUGGGUCUGUACUGGCUACAUUUUAUAUAUUGUUAUAGAAGUGUUUAUAUUGUCUUUUCAAUACGUUUGGAAUUGUAUCCCCAAAUACAGUCAGAGCUUCCCAUUUCUAAGUGCAAAAGUUUUGUCCUAAAUUCAGAGGACAUCACUUAUGUUUUAGAACUCUGGUGAGAUGGGCACUAUAGAUACAAUAUUAGCAUUUAAGGAAAUACUUAAGGGAGAUGGAGAGAGAAAGAGACAGCUGGUAUAAUCAAUUACUCUGCUCAAUUCUGCUUCAGUUUUUAUGUUAUGUUUCUUCUUAAGGUGAAAUAGCAUAAUCUUAAUUUCUUUGAGAUGAAGUUUCUAAGUAACACACUACCAGCAAGUUCAACAUUGCUAGUGAUUUUAAUGUUUUCUCUGUUCAUUUGAUAACUUUAAUUCCAACUUUUACAAUAAUAUCUAUAUAUUAUUUGCUGAAUCCUGUUACAGUUUUACAAUAAAUUCUGUUGUACAUGGUAUUGUACACAUCAUUACAAAUUAAUAUGAAGGGGAAUAUAUAUUACAUAUCAAAAAAUUGUGAAUUUGAACUCUAGUAUGUGUUAGUGCUUUUGCAAAAAUGUUUAUUUUUAUAAUAUCUGUGAUUUUAAUAUAGGUAAUUGAACUAGAUUUCUUUGUGAUGAAUAGUGCCAUUGAAUGACUGGUAUGGAAACAGUGUUACUUGACAUUUUGUGCUUUCUCAGGUUUAUCUGUAUCAAUGGUAGCUUAACAGAUUCCAGACUAAUUGUGCAUAAUUGUGUUUUAAAAGGAAUGUGCAUUUCCUAUAAGUUUGCAUGCAGGAGUGUACAACUUGGAGUGUGUGUGUGUGUCCACAGCAUGGCGGCCAGCUUUGUAUCUGCUGUUGAUAAUGACAGCAGAGCUUUGGCAUCAUCGUGGUCAUUAGAAUUAUACCCACCAUAGACAAUUAAAACCGAAAAAGUCUCAAUAAAACUAUGAAAUGUG